rnacentral:misc_RNA from 1 species
GAUGAAGAACGUAGCGAAAUGCGAUAAGUAAUGUGAAUUGCAGAUUUCAGUGAAUCAUCGAAUCUUUGAACGCACAUUGCGCCCGCCAGUAUUCUGGCGGGCAUGCCUGUUCGAGCGUCAUUUCAACCAUCAAGCCCCCGGCUUGUGUUGGGGACCUGCGGCUGCCGCAGGCCCUGAAAUGCAGUGGCGGGCUCGCUGUCACUCCGAGCGUAGUAGUUACAUCUCGCUCUGGGCGUGCUGCGGGUUCCGGCCGUUAAAAGCCUUAUUUACCCAAGGUUGACCUCGGAUCAGGUAGGAAGACCCGCUGAACUUAAGCAUAUCAAUAAGCGGAGGA